rnacentral:rRNA from 1 species
AACGAACGCUGGCGGCACGCCUAACACAUGCAAGUCGAACGAGACCUUCGGGGCUAGUGGCGCACGGGUGCGUAACGCGUGGGAACCUGCCCUUAGGUUCGGAAUAACUCCCCGAAAGGGGUGCUAAUACCGGAUAAUGUCUUCGGACCAAAGAUUUAUCGCCUUUGGAUGGGCCCGCGUUGGAUUAGCUAGUUGGUAGGGUAAAAGCCUACCAAGGCGACGAUCCAUAGCUGGUCUGAGAGGAUGAUCAGCCACACUGGGACUGAGACACGGCCCAGACUCCUACGGGAGGCAGCAGUGGGGAAUAUUGGACAAUGGGCGAAAGCCUGAUCCAGCAAUGCCGCGUGAGUGAUGAAGGCCUUAGGGUUGUAAAGCUCUUUUACCCGGGAUGAUAAUGACAGUACCGGGAGAAUAAGCUCCGGCUAACUCCGUG